CAACAACCGCCUCCGGGCCACCACAUCGGUUCCCACCACUUACAAUUACACACCGGGGCCAGCCACACCCACCACCUCCACUGGGACAUCAUACCGCUUGGGCUCUAGCACCAGCGUUACCACACCUUUACCAGCAACAGACUUUGCUCCAGUGACCUGUCUGUCAAAUGACUACCAAGGAAGACAUCAGAUUUCCAAAGAGGAGCUUGAACAUGUUCUUUCACUGAAAACCAUCUUUACAGAAGCGGCAUCUAUUCUUUCAAUCUCAAGGCCAACUUUCUACAAGUUACUGCAAGAAUAAUAUCCCAGCAUCAACAUUUAAGAGCAUCAGUGAUCAAAAGUUGGAUCUUGAAGUGUCACACAUAAAAACUGAACACCCAAAUGUUGGAGAAGUGAUGCUUAUGGGGCAUCUCCGCUCCAAAAACAUUGUGGUUCAAAGACAACGUGUAAGAGAUUCACUGCGAAGGAUGGACCCAAUUGGUGUCCUAGCCAGGAGCAGAACAGCAAUAGCUCAGCGAGUAUACUCUGUCCCCCAUCCAAAUUUCAUAUGGCAUGUAGAUGGAAAUCAUUAGUUGAUUAGGUGGAAAUUAGUUGUUCAUGGUGCCAUAGACGGCUACAGUAGGAUGUUGAUGUUUCUUCACUGCUCCAACAAUAAUCGUGCUGAAACUGUUAAAGACCUCUUUAGUGCAGCUGUUGGACAGUUUGGCAGACCACUGCACAUCAGGACUGAUCACGGAGGAGAGAACGUUCAGAUUUGGGAGGACAUGUAUGCGAGCAGGGGUGAAGGCUCUGUCUAAACAGGAAGUUCUGAACACAACCAGAGGAUAGAGCGUUUUAAUCGAGACUUGAACAAAAACUGCAGCCAUGUUUAUGCACCCAUUUUUAUGAACUGGAAUCCCUGGGUAUCCUAGACAUUGACAAUGCAACAGACCUAUUUUGUCUCCAUUAUGUCUUUCUACCCAGAAUCAACCGCACUUUGGAGGAAUUCAAAGCUGGAUUUAACAAUCACUCUAUAUCAUCUGAAGGAAAUAGAACACCAGUUCAGCUUUUUACUCUGGACAAUGAUUUGCCUCAUUUUCACAACCCAGAACUCUCAACAGCAGGGGUAGUUUUUUGUUCCUCACCAAACUAUCAAAGAGGAUUUUCCCAAUUGAAUGAUAGGGAUUUGCAAGAAC